GGCUCAGUGGUCCAAUGGUAAAGCGCUCGUCGCAGAAGCAGUGGGUCUUGGGUUCGGUCCCCAACAGGGUCG
rnacentral:tRNA from 1 species